ACGAACGCUGGCGGCAUGCCUCACACCUGCAAGUCGAACGAGACCUUCGGGUCUAGUGGCGCACGGGUGCGUAACGCGUGGGAACCUGCCCUUAGGUUCGGAAUAACUCCCCGAAAGGGGUGCUAAUACCGGCUAAUGUCUUCGGACCAAAGAUUUAUCGCCUUUGGAUGGGCCCGCGUUGGAUUAGCUAGUUGGUAGGGUAAAAGCCUACCAAGGCGACGAUCCAUAGCUGGUCUGAGAGGAUGAUCAGCCACACUGGGACUGAGACACGGCCCAGACUCCUACGGGAGGCAGCAGUGGGGAAUAUUGGACAAUGGGCGAAAGCCUGAUCCAGCAAUGCCGCGUGAGUGAUGAAGGCCUUAGGGUUGUAAAGCUCUUUUACCCGGGAUGAUAAUGACAGUACCGGGAGAAUAAGCUCCGGCUAACUCCGUG
rnacentral:rRNA from 1 species